GAACAGUAGAUAUGAAAUGGUGAAAAGGGGGUGCAGCAGCAGAGCUCACUGCACACACAAACCAGAGGUGAAGUGGGGUGUGAUGGCACCACCACAGCACCUGCCUUGGAUCUGCCCCUGAUUCUCACUUGUUAACAACCUUGCUAAAGGCCCAUUUUUGCCACUUUUACUUAUGCUGGCAAGUUUACCUUCAAUUUUUAGCAGCCAUCAGUCUCAUUAAAAAGAAGAGUCUCAGUUAAUGCAUUUCUGCUGCCUUGGUACCCAGAAGUUCAGUCCUGCUACCACUGAAAUAAAUGAUAGAACUCUCAUUGAUUUCAGCACUGGAGGAUUAGUGCCAGGCAUUAAACAGAUACCCCAAAGGGAAACAGAAAGACUGCAUUCAUUUAUACUUUCUUGUCUAAGAAAUUGCAAAGCAAAAGCAAGUGUUUAUAAUGUCACUGCUGAAGCAACAUCAGAGAUAUUGUUUGAAUAUACUGGAGGAUAAAGUGGGUUAAAGGCAUGAGGAUUCCUUUGCUCUUUAUGCAAUUCUAUGGCCAGCAGCAUCAUCUACCAUUUACUUCUGGGAAGAUUUUGGGAACAGGGAAAAGACUAUAGUAUGGAAGGCAAAGCUAUGUUUCUAGUUUUCAGCACUCUAGCAAGUUGCUAAAACUUUCUAAUGUGCAACUAGAUGCCACUGCUCAUGACCAGUGUCACUGGUCUUAAACUCUGGAAACAUUAUGACCUCUAGUCAGCUGUUUCUUGAUGUGGUGCACAAUAUACUCCUGUAUCCCAAGCACCAAAAGCCACAGUCUUCAUUUGCCCUUAGAUUAGGACUGCUCUAGCAAAUUACUAAAUAUCAGUUCCAUACCUCUCUGAUAGCUGUACAAAACUCGCUCUGCAGUACUUUUUUUAGGGAUUGUAGCUUGUGCACUGGUACCUCCCCAGACUCUUGAAGUUUCUCCAGUAAUUCAAUUGCUCUGGCAACAUCUGAGUAGAUAAAAAUAGGAAUAAUGGUCAGAAAAGCACAUGUUUUUCAUGGAAGAUAAAUGACUAAUGUUCCAGAAAAGCAGCACAAUGAUGAACGUCAGUAUUUUAAGUGUAAGGUCAUCUUAGCUAUACAGAAUUUAUUCUUUGUUUGUGCUUACAAUUAAAGGACAAGAUAUGGUUCAAGA